CGGCGAGGAAAAUAUUCUUUACAAAAUUCUAAAAAUAGAAAAAGGGAACAUUACCCAAUUCAUUAUAUGAAGCCACAGUUACUCUGAUACCCAAAGCACACAAAGACUCAAAGGGGAAAAAAAAAAAAAAAGAGUAUUAUAGAUCAAUUUCCCACAUGAGCACAGAUGUAAAAAUGGUAAGAUACUUGCAAAUUCAAAGAAAAGACCAAAAGUAUCACAUAUGAUGUUCAACUUGGCUUCAUCCCAGAGAUGCAGAAAUGGUUCAACGUGCAAAAAUGAGUGGGAAAAAAAAGUGCAACCAAAAUAGUGACAUCACAAUGCUUGAAGAUAUUGUUGACACAUUGUUACACUUUUGUCUCUAGAAUAAACAAUGCUGUGUAACUGAAUGUGUGUUGGCUAAAGAUCACACCAAACCCCUUCUAGUCAUAGACUUCCUUCCGUAGUUCUUUCAGAACCUCAACGACUACUGGGAUCUGCAGUCUUUAGCAGACUGAUCACACACUGCAGAUUUUCCUCUUGUAUAAAGAUACAAUGAAGAACAAAACUUUACCACACUCACUACAUUUGUGGGGUUUCUCUGCAGGCUGAUUUUUCUCAUGAUUUCUAAGGCUACUGCUAUAUGCAAAGGCUUUACCAUAUUGCUUUGCUUAUUCAAAGUGUUUCUCUCCAGUGUGCGUUCUUUUGUGUAUUCUGAGAUAGCUGUUUUGUGAAAAGGCUGAACCACACUGAUUACAUUCAUAGGGUUUCUCUCCAGUAUGCGUUCUUUUAUGUCUUCGAAGGUGACUAUUAUCUGCAAAGGCUUUACCACAUUGAUUACAUACAUAAGGUUUCUCUCCAGUAUGUGUCCUUUUGUGUAUUUGGAGACUAUGUGAUUGAGAAAAGACUUUAUCACAUUGAUUACAUUUGUAAGGUUUCUCUUCAGUAUGAAUUCGUUCAUGACAUUGAAGAUGAUAGUAACGUGCAAAGGCUUUUCCACACUGACUACAUUCAUAAGAUUUCUCGCCAGUAUGUGCUCUUUUAUGUAUCUUAAGAUUAAUGUUUUGUAAAAACGCUUUAUCACAUUGAUUACAUUCAUAGGGUUUCUCUCCAGUAUGUGUCCUUUUAUGUAUUCGGAGAUUACUAUGCUGUGCAAAGGCUUUAUCACACUGGUUGCAUUUGUAGGGCUUCUCUCCAGUAUGUAUUCUUCUAUGUAUUCGAAGUUGACUUUGAUCUGCAAACGCUUUCCCACACUGAUUACAUUCAUAGGGUUUCUCUCCGGUAUGUGUUCUUUUGUGUAUUAUGAGAUGACCAUUUUGCGCAAAGGCUUUAUCACAUUGAUUGCAUUUGUAGGGUUUCUCUCCAGUAUGUGUUCUUUUAUGUAUUAUGAGAUGACCAUUUUGUGAAAAGGCUUUAUCACAUUGAUUGCAUUUGUAGGGUUUCUCCCCAGUAUGUGUUCUUUUAUGUCUUCGAAGUUGACUAUGAUAUGUAAAUGCUUUCCCACACUGAUUACAUUCAUAAGGUUUCUCUCCAAUAGCUAUUCUUUUAUAUAUUUGGAGACUACUGUGAUAUACAAAGUCUUCACCAUACUGAAUAACUUCAUAGGGUUUCUCUCCAGUAUGAAUUCUUUCAUGCCACUGAGGAUAAUGGUGAUAUGCAAAGGCUUUACCACUUUUAUUACAUUCAUAAGGCUCCUCUCCAGUGGGACUUCUUUCAU
rnacentral:lncRNA from 1 species